GCAACGCCGCGUGGGUGUAGAAGGCCUUCGGGUUGUAAAGCCCUGUCAGGUGGGAAGAAUGUCCAUGGCUAAUAUCCAUGGUAUUUGACGGUACCACCAAAGGAAGCACCGGCUAACUCCGUGCCAGCAGCCGCGGUAAUA
rnacentral:rRNA from 1 species